CCUACGGGUGACAGCAGUGAGGAAUAUUGGUCAAUGGGCGCGAGCCUGAACCAGCCAAGUAGCGUGAAGGAUGACUGUCCUACGGGUUGUAAACUUCUUUUAUCAAGGAAUAAAGUGAGGCACGUGUGCCUUUUUGUAUGUACUUUAUGAAUAAGGAUCGGCUAACUCCGUGCCAGCAGCCGCGGUAAUACGGAGGAUCCGAGCGUUAUCCGGAUUUAUUGGGUUUAAAGGGAGCGUAGAUGGGUUGUUAAGUCAGUUGUGAAAGUUUGCGGCUCAACCGUAAAACUGCAAUUGAUACUGGCAGUCUUGAGUACAGUAGAGGUAGGCGGAAUUCGAGGUGUAGCGGUGAAAUGCUUAGAGAUCACGAAGAACUCCGAUUGCGAAGGCAGCUUACUAAACUGACACUGACGUUGAGGCUCGAAAGCGUGGGUAGCAAACAGGAUUAGAUACCCGAGUAGUC
rnacentral:rRNA from 1 species